GAACUUCCUAAAGGAGGUGGAAGUUUCUAAAACUAUUAUAUAGUCAAGCUGGCUUAAAGAUAUACUAGCUGAAUCUGGAAUGCAUUUCAACUUUUUAGGUGUUUUGUCUGUAAUCUUCAUGGAGGAGGUGGCUGUCAACGUACCUGAUGGUUGAGAAAUUGAGAGGGAUCCAAUAUACUGCAACAGUUAAAUAAAAUGUAUUUCCACAUGAUGGCAGGAAACUGUAGAAGAUAAAACUAAUUCAUCUGAGGGUCUAGAACUGUGAACCAGCUCCAAGAUCAGUCUUAAACCUAAAUCUAAAGAUUUAAGAGAGGCUACUGGCACAUGCUGGUUAAUCAUGGAACUACAUACACCCUACAAACUAUUUCACUAAUGAGAGUGGCUGUGUCUCAGAAAUGACCCACACAAUGCAUAAGAGACUAUGUGGUCAAUUGUGAGUUGAAUUU